GUCGAACGAACUCUGGUAUUGAUUGGUGCUUGCAUCAUGAUUUACAUUUGAGUGAGUGGCGAACUGGUGAGUAACACGUGGGAAACCUGCCCAGAAGCGGGGGAUAACACCUGGAAACAGAUGCUAAUACCGCAUAACAACUUGGACCGCAUGGUCCGAGNUUGAAAGAUGGCUUCGGCUAUCACUUUUGGAUGGUCCCGCGGCGUAUUAGCUAGAUGGUGGGGUAACGGCUCACCAUGGCAAUGAUACGUAGCCGACCUGAGAGGGUAAUCGGCCACAUUGGGACUGAGACACGGCCCAAACUCCUACGGGAGGCAGCAGUAGGGAAUCUUCCACAAUGGACGAAAGUCUGAUGGAGCAACGCCGCGUGAGUGAAGAAGGGUUUCGGCUCGUAAAACUCUGUUGUUAAAGAAGAACAUAUCUGAGAGUAACUGUUCAGGUAUUGACGGUAUUUAACCAGAAAGCCACGGCUAACUACGUGCCAGCAGCCGCGGUAAUACGUAGGUGGCAAGCGUUGUCCGGAUUUAUUGGGCGUAAAGCGAGCGCAGGCGGUUUUUUAAGUCUGAUGUGAAAGCCUUCGGCUCAACCGAAGAAGUGCAUCGGAAACUGGGAAACUUGAGUGCAGAAGAGGACAGUGGAACUCCAUGUGUAGCGGUGAAAUGCGUAGAUAUAUGGAAGAACACCAGUGGCGAAGGCGGCUGUCUGGUCUGUAACUGACGCUGAGGCUCGAAAGUAUGGGUAGCAAACAGGAUUAGAUACCCUGGUAGUCCAUACCGUAAACGAUGAAUGCUAAGUGUUGGAGGGUUUCCGCCCUUCAGUGCUGCAGCUAACGCAUUAAGCAUUCCGCCUGGGGAGUACGGCCGCAAGGCUGAAACUCAAAGGAAUUGACGGGGGCCCGCACAAGCGGUGGAGCAUGUGGUUUAAUUCGAAGCUACGCGAAGAACCUUACCAGGUCUUGACAUACUAUGCAAAUCUAAGAGAUUAGACGUUCCCUUCGGGGACAUGGAUACAGGUGGUGCAUGGUUGUCGUCAGCUCGUGUCGUGAGAUGUUGGGUUAAGUCCCGCAACGAGCGCAACCCUUAUUAUCAGUUGCCAGCAUUAAGUUGGGCACUCUGGUGAGACUGCCGGUGACAAACCGGAGGAAGGUGGGGAUGACGUCAAAUCAUCAUGCCCCUUAUGACCUGGGCUACACACGUGCUACAAUGGAUGGUACAACGAGUUGCGAACUCGCGAGAGUAAGCUAAUCUCUUAAAGCCAUUCUCAGUUCGGAUUGUAGGCUGCAACUCGCCUACAUGAAGUCGGAAUCGCUAGUAAUCGCGGAUCAGCAUGCCGCGGUGAAUACGUUCCCGGGCCUUGUACACACCGCCCGUCACACCAUGAGAGUUUGUAACACCCAAAGUCGGUGGGGUAACCUUUUAGGAACCAGCCGC
rnacentral:rRNA from 2 species